rnacentral:lncRNA from 1 species
AUAAGUUAACAUGUCACAAGGGCAUAUUGGUCACACCCAAAAAAACUAACACGCGAAAUGCUUGGUAAUAACGUUUCAUGGGAUGAAAAAUAGAGGAUAGUAAGCACUAACCCCAACUAGUGGCAAAAGGAAAUUCUGUCUUCUCUCUUGCUUAUGUGGUUGUCCAUCCGACAUAUGUUCUCUCUCCCAAAAGUAUAUAUUAUAUGCCACAUAUACAAGUACCAUCCGACAUAUGUUG